GACGAACGCUGGCGGCGUGCUUAACACAUGCAAGUCGAACGGAAAGGCCCUGCUUUUGUGGGGUGCUCGAGUGGCGAACGGGUGAGUAACACGUGAGUAACCUGCCCUUGACUUUGGGAUAACUUCAGGAAACUGGGGCUAAUACCGGAUAGGAGCUCCUGCUGCAUGGUGGGGGUUGGAAAGUUUCGGCGGUUGGGGAUGGACUCGCGGCUUAUCAGCUUGUUGGUGGGGUAGUGGCUUACCAAGGCUUUGACGGGUAGCCGGCCUGAGAGGGUGACCGGCCACAUUGGGACUGAGAUACGGCCCAGACUCCUACGGGAGGCAGCAGUGGGGAAUAUUGCACAAUGGGCGGAAGCCUGAUGCAGCAACGCCGCGUGCGGGAUGGCGGCCCUCGGGUUGUAAACCGCUUUCGCCUGUGACGAAGCGUGAGUGACGGUAAUGGGUAAAGAAGCACCGGCUAACUACGUG
rnacentral:rRNA from 1 species